GACGGGGGAUGCAAGCGUUAUCCGGAAUUACUGGGCGUAAAGCGCAUGUAGGCGGCCGAACAAGUCAGGUGUGAAAUCCUCGGGCUUAACCUGGGAAGUGCACUUGAUACUGUCCGGCUAGAGUUUGGCAGAGGAAAGUAGAAUUCCCGGUGUAGCGGUGAAAUGCGUAGAUAUCGGGAGGAAUACCAGUGGCGAAGGCGGCUUUCUGGGCCAAUACUGACGCUGAGGUGCGAAAGCGUGGGGAGCAAACAGG
rnacentral:rRNA from 1 species